GCUUUUAAAACUCAUGGCUCCCCAUGUAUCACUAUCUUCCCGGUUUUCACAUUUCCUUCUUGCUAAGCGAAAACCCUGUUUGAUGGGAAAUCUUUACUGCCCUCCAGUCUUUCCUCCCACCAUGUAAGGAUUACCAGAUACCUAUCACAUAAACAAAAGCUACAUAAUAAUCCAUUAGCAGCCAUUGCUAGAGGAACCCAGAGAGAUAGCUUAGUUCUCCUCUAGCUGUUUAAUUUAUUCAUUCAUUCCUCAUUGCUCUCUGGUUCCAUGUUCUUCCUUCCAUCUCUUUUUGUUAUUUUUUGUAUGCUCUUUGGCACUUUUUCUUUUUACAUUUUCUUGUAGGCCAGCCUGUUGUUGUAUCCCCACUUUUAUUCACAGGAAAAAAAAAAGAAAAAUGAGGGGCAAAAAAAAAAAAAUGUACAAUUGAUUAGGGA
rnacentral:misc_RNA from 1 species